rnacentral:tRNA from 1 species
GGUAAGAUGGCUGAAAUUAGGUGAUAAACUGUAAAUUUAUUUAUGAGAAUAAAUUCUCUCUUGCCA